rnacentral:rRNA from 1 species
UGGGGAAUCUUGGACAAUGGGUGAGAGCCUGAUCCAGCCAUGCCGCGUGCAGGAAGAAGGCCUUCGGGUUGUAAAGCUCUUUUACCAGGGACGAUAAUGACGGUACCUGGAGAAUAAGCCCCGGCAAACUUCGUGCCAGCAGCCGCGGUAAUACGAAGGGGGCUAGCGUUGUUCGGAAUUACUGGGCGUAAAGCGCACGUAGGCGGAUUGUUAAGUCAGAGGUGAAAUCCCGGAGCUCAACUUCGGAACUGCCUUUGAUACUGGCAAUCUAGAGUCCGGAAGAGGUUAGUGGAAUUCCCAGUGUAGAGGUGAAAUUCGUAGAUAUUGGGAAGAACACCAGUGGCGAAGGCGGCUAACUGGUCCGGUACUGACGCUGAGGUGCGAAAGCGUGGGGAGCAAACAGGAUUAGAUACCCAAGUAGUCCCUGAGCGGGCUGGCAAGGCGCAU